CUAAGUAAGCCUCCGUGCUGUUCGUUCGUCAUUCAGCUUCACCGAAUACCCUCCCCAGACGGAAUGUACACAGGGGCCGCCAUAAAAUACUCCUACCGAGAAAGGAGACGUUCUAUCAAUAUGUCGAUACGUUAGACUUUUUGUUUGUUCUUGACUAUUUCACUCUAUUGUUUGUAAUUUAUGGCGUUGUAAACUAUAUGUAUGUAUUUCAUUUGGAGUCUGACGGCAUUCCAGAUGUUUACGCGCACUGAUACAGGAGAAGUGCUUUGGUUCUGGGUGGAAUUCAGUCAGUGCAGGGCGGCCAUAUUUGAGUACGGCGAAGCGCUGGGCUGUUUUCCCUGACGAUCGCCCCGAUUUGGCCGGCCGGCGGGCGGCGCCGCGUGAUCCUGACGCGCCAAAUUUUGGGCUGCGUGCCCCUCAGAAACGGAGGAUAUGUGACUGAAGCGGCACAAGAAAACCUGUUUCGACGCUAUGGAUGAAGAAUUUCAAGCCAGGUUCCUAACGACUGGGCGAGGUUGUCGCAGUUGGUACUGAGGUUCAGUCGCAGAAACAGUGACACUUACCUCCUUCCAUCUUGUUGCAGGUGGAAUGUAGAUUGUACAAACUCCCAGAUGUAGCUGAUAUUAGACCGGAGAGCGGAGCGGAGAUAUUGAAUGGUAGUGGUGCAGCCAGUUCCAUUAGCAUUAAGUUUGUUACAGAAUACUGUUGCUACCACAGAAAAUAAUAAGUAAGACUGUUGUUUUUGUAAAAAGUUGUUUACAAAUGCAUUAUUAGUAUUGAUUAAAUAAGGAGAAGUACAUGUACAGUGUGUACCUGCACUACGGUACAUCAAAGAAAUCUAUGUCGAUUGUAUGUAUCCUGAAGAUAGCCUUUGACCUUGGAAAAUGUUGA